rnacentral:rRNA from 1 species
GCUAAGAAUAUUCCGCAAUGGACGAAAGUCUGACGGAGCGACGCCGCGUGGAUGAUGAAGGCCGAAAGGUUGUAAAGUCCUUUUGCUGGGGAAGAAUAAGCGUGGGAGGGAAUGCCCGCGUGAUGACAUGAACCGGCGAAUAAGCCCCGGCUAACUACGUGCCAGCAGCCGCGGUAACACGAAGGGGGCAAGCGUUGUUCGGAAUUACUGGGCGUAAAGGGCAUGUAGGCGGCCUUGUAAGCUUGGCGUGAAAGGCCACGGCUUAACCGUGGGAUUGCGUUGAGAACUGCGAGGCUUGAGUGACGGAGAGGGAGCUAGAAUUCCUGGUGUAGGGGUGGAAUCUGUAGAGAUCAGGAAGAAUACCAAUGGCGAAGGCAAGCUCCUGGCCGAUGACUGACGCUGAGGUGCGAAAGUGUGGGGAUCAAACAGGAUUAGAAACCCCAGUAGUCC